GCUUGAUGGAGAUGUCAACUGCCUCGGAGAGACAGCGGACAAACAAGCAGCGAGGACUCGUUAGCGUAGGGAAGUAGUCUCCGACCAAAAGCCUCUCUAGCCUGGUUAAAGUAAUGAGGUAGACAGUCGGACAAUUAAUUACACACACCGUGAUUUAACCAGACUGACGCUGCCACAGUGAACAUGGACCAGGAGUUUGAAGAGAUAGAUUCAGAGGGCCGGUGGCAGAAACUGUACCUAGAAAUCAGGAAUCAGUCCCACGAGUGCUCCUACAAAGUGGCAAAGUAUCCAGAGAAUCGCAACAGAAACAGAUACAGAGACGUCAGUCCAUUUGAUCACAGUCGGGUGAAGCUGGAAAACACAGAAAAUGACUACAUCAAUGCAAGUCUGGUAGUCAUGGAGGAAGCCCAAAGAAGUUACAUAUUGACUCAGGGCCCCCUCAGGAACACCUGUGGCCACUUUUGGCUCAUGAUCUGGGAGCAGAAGACAAAGGCAGUCAUUAUGCUCAACAGGGUCAUUGAGAAAGGCUCAGAAAAAUGUGCUCAGUAUUGGCCCACAGCUGAGGAGAGAGAGAUGGCGUUCAGAGACACACGGUUCUUGGUCACGCUGUUGUCAGAAGACACCAAGUCUUACUACACCACCAGAGUGUUGGAGCUGCAGAAUAUUAGUACGGGGGAGAAGAGAGAGAUCUACCACUUUCAUUACACCACGUGGCCUGAUUUUGGUGUUCCAGAGUCUCCAGCAUCCUUCCUAAACUUCCUCUUCAAAGUGCGGGAGUCGGGAGCGUUGGGGGUCGAUCACGGACCGGCUGUGGUGCACUGCAGUGCUGGAAUCGGACGCUCAGGGACGUUUUCAUUAGUCGACACAUGUGUGGUACUGAUGGGCAAGAGGAAAGACCCCUCAUCAGUGGACAUCAAAAGCAUCCUGUUGGACAUGAGGAAGUACCGCAUGGGCCUGAUCCAGACCCCUGACCAGCUGCGCUUCUCCUACAUGGCUGUCCUCGAAGGAGCCAAGUACAUCAUGGGAGACUCCUCUGUACAGAACCGGUGGCGGGAGUUGUCCAGGGAAGAUCAGGAGCCGACGUCGGAGUCUCCCCCGUCAACUCAGCCUCAGGCCAGGUGUCCGACAGAGCGAUGCAACGGCAGCCAGCGGGGAGGUCAGCUGGAGGAGGGAGUAGACUACAGACAGGAUGGCAAAGUGCCCGCACAGUCUCCCUGCAAGGAACAGGAGCUGGACGGCAGUACAACACACAAACGACGCAGAGAAGACAGCAUCUCCAAAUCAGGUACAGCCAAGACACCCCAAAGCAAGCCCAGGACAAAUGACUCAGAGAAGAAGAGAAAAAGUUUGGGCUGCAUUUGCUGCACAUGACAAGAGCUGGCCUGUCCAGUGGGGGGCAGUGUAUCUUUACCCCCCUCUGCGACAGCAACAACAACCACGAAGAGCACAUGUAGAGGACGAAGUUUACCCACAGCUUUUAGAAAGAACGCCCACUCUUGUACAUGGAGGGCGAAAACCAGCGACUGCUAACCACCUCCACCUGCGGCCACGCACCAACAGCUCUGGCAUCAAAGCCAACAUCGGCAGGGAACUCCAGCUCUCUCCCAACCUCUGUCCUUCUUCCUCGACUCCAAACCACUCUUCCUCACUUCAACCUCAAGAGCCAGCUCUCCUCUCUUCAUUGCUUUUUUGUUGUCAUGGAAGCAUUAUUCAGCACACCUCCUCCUCCUUCCCGUUAGCAGCAUGUCACUCCCACAUUCGCCUCAGUCCUCCACCUCACAGCUUUCCCAUGUCUCCUCAUCCCCCCUCUAAACUGUUUACAGCAGACACUUCGACAUUCUUUGAAGAGAGCACAUUUGGAAAGAGAAACACACCAGCGCUUUAUGCCCGGAUCACACCUGAACCACAGCCCUGUGCUGCUUCUGGAAUCAGAAUUGUUUUUUGUUUUUUUUUGCUUUAAUAUUAUUUGCUGCUUUUGUCAAUCUAUUUUGCUUCUCUGCAUCAAUGAACUUAAGACUGAUAAUAGGGGCUAUGCAUUGCCAAUUUGUAAUGCUGUUCAUAUGUGUAUUUUUAGAAAGCAUUUUUCAGAGGGGAAAAUAAAAAAGUUCUAUUUUUUAUAAGAGAUUACUUGAAGUUUUUCACAGUGAUGGGGGGUUGGUUAAAUGAAAAGCACUGCCUCCUCCCACAUGAGAAAUUCAGUGGCGUGUAAUGUUUCCACGAUGUACAUAGUGUUCUUUUUAAAAAGAUGUGUGUAAAGACAUAUUUUUGCUUGUAAAAAAAAAAAGACUAACGACGAUGUUACAGAUUUGAAUACAGUAGAAAAGCUGAUUUGAUGACUUUUUGUUCUCCUUUUGAAAUUAAUUUGUCUUAAGUUUCUCUUUCUCUUAGAGUGUAAUCUACAAAUAAAACUGGUAUUAUCUAGUUUACAUAACAA